rnacentral:rRNA from 1 species
UACGUAGGGUGCAAGCGUUAACCGGAAUUACUGGGCGUAAAGCGUGCGCAGGCGGUUCUAUAAGACAGAUGUGAAAUCCCCGGGCUCAACCUGGGAACUGCAUUUGUGACUGUAGAGCUGGAGUACGGCAGAGGGGGAUGGAAUUCCGCGUGUAGCAGUGAAAUGCGUAGAUAUGCGGAGGAACACCGAUGGCGAAGGCAAUCCCCUGGGCCUGUACUGACGCUCAUGCACGAAAGCGUGGGGAGCAAACAGG